rnacentral:lncRNA from 1 species
AUUAUUAGAAAAUCUCCAUAAGAUGGCUGUUAUUGUCACCACUCUUUAAGAAGUUAAAUGAAGGCUUAGAGAAACGAAGUUGCUUGUUUACGGAAGGUCAAAGAAAAGAAAAGCAGGCAGAGCUAGGAAUACACCUGACAUCGUGGAUCGUUUCCUUUGCCAUACCCUAGAAGCAUCUCAAGAACAGAUUGACGGUAAAUAUCACUUUUCUGGGUUUAGAAAACAAAUGUGUGGAAACAUGGAGGCAAAGGCUGGAUCUGCUCACUGGAGAGGCAGAGAGUUGUUCUCUAGUUGGACCAAGUGAUCUGUACCAUUAGAUGCUCUUGAGUGAACCAGUGGGGUAAAAGGUUUUAAGUGUCUCAAAAAAGAGAACUGUUUCUACGGCCUUCAUUGAAAAGUCUGGAUUCUGCACACUUCUCUGGGUCCAAGACAUUCUCUUUCAGGACUACAUCUCUGAGAAUUCCAAGCUUGAAAUGUAACUUACACAUCAAUUAUCAUUCUGUCAAUUUUACAGAAAGCACCACACAGAGAUUCUGAGGCACUAAUCAGGAUGUAGAAAAACACCCCAGUCACCCUGCAUUGGAAACGGAGAAGUGCUUUCGGAGCCAUACUUCCUGCUGCAAGGUCAUUAGCAGUGCGUCCGUCCACAGCAAAGUGUUUUGCCACAGGAUGGAAAUUAUCUGGUCCCACCCCUGGAUAUGAUCAACCUUCAUAGACUGUGCAUUAUACAUGUAGCCAUCUCUGCGACCUGCAAAGAUGAAAAGGGAAAGCAGGAGAUGGAAACUGGUCAGCAGCCUUCUGGUUUAUCAGCCACACUUACAAAGGUCAAAUGUGCAAAGCGUCAGAAGACAGUGGUUAGAGUGAGAUUCUACAUGCUCUCAAUGAAGAAUAAAGGUAAGUUCAAUAUUUCAUGAAACAAAAAGUUUUUUAAGUUAUUAUAAAGGAAUGUUUCCAUAGCUACU